rnacentral:rRNA from 1 species
GGAGUUAGCCGGUGCUUCUUCUGCGAGUAACGUCACAGAUGUAAGGUAUUAACUUACACCCUUUCCUCCUCGCUGAAAGUGCUUUACAACCCGAAGGCCUUCUUCACACACGCGGCAUGGCUGCAUCAGGGUUUCCCCCAUUGUGCAAUAUUCCCCACUGCUGCCUCCCGUAGGAGUCUGGGCCGUGUCUCAGUCCCAGUGUGGCUGAUCAUCCUCUCAGACCAGCUAGGGAUCGUCGCCUAGGUGAGCCUUUACCUCACCUACUAGCUAAUCCCACCUGGGCUUAUCCAUCAGCGCAAGGCCCGAAGGUCCCCUGCUUUCCCCCGUAGGGCGUAUGCGGUAUUAGCAGUCGUUUCCAACUGUUAUCCCCCACAAAUGGGCAAAUUCCCAGGCAUUACUCACCCGUCCGCCGCUCGUCAUCUUCAAAAGCAAGCUUUUGAAAUGUUAACCGCUCGACUUGCAUGUGUUAGGCCUGCCGCCAGCGUUCAAUCUGAGCCAGAAUCAAACUCUGA